rnacentral:tRNA from 1 species
GCGAGCAUAGUUCAGCGGUAGAACAUUUCCUUGCCAAGGAAAAGGUCACGGGUUCGAAUCCCGUUGCUCGCU